rnacentral:rRNA from 1 species
AUACGGAGGGUGCAAGCGUUAAUCGGAAUUACUGGGCGUAAAGCGCGCGUAGGCGGAUGAUUAAGUCAGUUGUGAAAGCCCUGGGCUCAACCUAGGAACUGCAUCUGAUACUGGUCGUCUAGAGUUUAAGAGAGGGAGGUGGAAUUCCAGGUGUAGCAGUGAAAUGCGUAGAUAUCUGGAGGAACAUCAGUGGCGAAGGCGACUUCCUGGCUUAAAACUGACGCUGAGGUGCGAAAGCGUGGGUAGCGAACGGGAUUAGAAACCCUAGUAGUCC